GUGGGGAAUAUUGGACAAUGGGCGAAAGCCUGAUCCAGCCAUGCCGCGUGUGUGAAGAAGGUCUUCGGAUUGUAAAGCACUUUAAGUUGGGAGGAAGGGCAGUAAGUUAAUACCUUGCUGUUUUGACGUUACCGACAGAAUAAGCACCGGCUAACUUCGUGCCAGCAGCCGCGGUAAUACGAAGGGUGCAAGCGUUAAUCGGAAUUACUGGGCGUAAAGCGCGCGUAGGUGGUUUUGUAAGUUGGAGGUGAAAUCCCCGGGCUCAACCUUGGAACUGCCUCCAAAACUGCAUGACUAGAGUACGGUAGAGUGUAGUGGAAUUUCCUGUGUAGCGGUGAAAUGCGUAGAUAUAGGAAGGAACACCAGUGGCGAAGGCGACUACCUGGACUGAUACUGACACUGAGGUGCGAAAGCGUGGGGAGCAAACAGGAUUAGAAACCCGAGUAGUCC
rnacentral:rRNA from 1 species